AGUCCAUCAAACAGUGCAUUUUGAAGUCAAGCAAGUCCUAAGCAAAGCAAAGCAAAUCAAUGAGAGAGAGAGAUAGACUAAGAAGCAACAAUUAGGGUUUCGUGUUUCCUUCGGGGCACAGAAUUCACGCUCCUUCGCCAGAGAUCUGUUUUGCAGUGUUGCGAGGUUGAAUUCCACGCUGAGCUGCGAGUGCUGUAGUAGCAUCUCGUCGGUUGGGUGAUGCAUGUGGCGAAGGAUCGGCAAGUGAUACAGUUCUGUCGAAGUGUAAUUCGGUGUAAUUUCACGAAUGGCUUCGAAUUUCUGGACGUCCUCGCACUGCAAGAAACUGCUAGACCAAGAGGAAGUUAGUCAUGUUGCUCAAACUGAUGCGGAGCGGGGUCUUACACCCGAGGAUGUGAAACUUAUGAAGAUACAAUUUUCUGCUUACAUCAAAUUGCUAGGAUACCAUGCUAAAGUUCGUCAGCGGGUUGUCGCAACUGCUAUCGCAUACUUUAGAAGAAUUUACACCAGAAAAAGUUUCUCCGAAUUCGAUCCACGGCUAGUUGCUCCUACAUGUCUGUAUCUGGCCUCCAAAGCAGAAGAAAGUACAGUGCAGGCUAAGCUUCUUGUUUUCUGCACGAAGAAAAUUCGGGCAACCUUCGCCUGUCUCUUUACUUCAGCUCCAGAUGAGAAAGCACAUCGUUAUGACGUUAAGGAUAUUCUUGAGAUGGAGAUGCGGCUGCUGGAAGCACUGGAUUAUUAUCUAGUCAUCUAUCACCCUUACCGUCCCCUUAUUCAACUGCUGCAAGAUGGUAACAUGCCGACAGAUAUGACCCAAUUCACUUGGUCACUGGUGAACGAUUCGUAUAGGACUGACCUCAUCCUGAUGUACCCACCUUUCAUGAUUGCACUUGCAUGCAUCUACAUCGCUAGCGUGCUCAAAGAGAAGGACACAAGGUCAUGGUUUGAAGAGCUACGUGUGGACAUGAAUGUGAUUAAAAACAUUGCGAUGGAGAUUUUGGACUUCUAUGACAAUUAUCGAGAGAUACCUGGUGAGCGCAUUACGGCUGCUGUAAGCAAGCUACCGCAAAGACUGUAGAACUCAUCUGCACAGCUAGAGUUCAACAGUUAUUAAACUCAUGCAGUAGCCAAUUCUAAACAUUAUGUCAAUCUCCUCAACGCUAAGACUGCGUUAGUUUCGAUGGGACAGUUGUGGGCACCAUUCACUGCAUAAGUAACAGUUCAUGCCGUCGUCUUGCUGCGGUAGUAGAAAGCCGACGUCAAGCAAGCAUACAUGGGUGGGUGAGGUUGGAAGGCGAGGUGGGUGGGUCACACCUUUGGUUUAGAACAGUGGCAGACUGCUGUUAAGUUCGAGGAAAGUGUUCUGCGAAACCGCUGGGCAGCAUUUGGAUAUUGGGGCGACACGAGAGGGAGCGCGCGCACGUUUCCGAGAUCCAGCAGGUAGUCUCCUGCAAUCAUGAAGCUUGGGAGGGUGUAGCAAGCCGUGUGGAGAGCACGAUUGGUGGGUCGGAGUCGUCAUGCGACACAUGCGCGCGGAGCAUUGGCGGCGAUUGAUUAGAUGGCUGUUUGCAUCCGUUGUAGUCUACAUGGUUAGGAAUCUCAGCUUUAGCGGAAUGCAUAAAACAUGCCAAACAAAUAGAAUUUAGCAAAGGUGUAUCUCUUUGGAAUGAAGCCGCAUUUAGUGCAAACACCGAUAGCUUCAAGGGAGGUACUGGAAUACUGAUAUCGAACAGAUUUUCCAACUUCAUUACAGAACAUGGGAUAAUCAUGAGAGGA